UGCUAGCCUCCCAUGGUGACUGCUUGC
rnacentral:piRNA from 1 species